UUAUUAUAAACUUUUAAAAGUCUGUUUCCAGAUCAGCAAAUGUGAAUUUCAGACAAAUGUGCCAUGGAAGGCAUACUAAUAGCCCCCCCAAACAUGUUUAUAUCUAAUCCCUGGUACCAGUGAAUAUGCUAGGUUACUUGGGAAAAGAGACUUUACAGCUGUUGUUAAAUUGAUGAUCUUUAGAUGGGAAGAUUAUCUAUGGGUGGGCCUAAUGUAAACACAAGAAUCCUUACAAAAAGAAAAUACCAGCACAACAGGAAGUCACAGUCAGAGAGGGAUUCAGUGAUGCUACUCUGAUGCCUUUGAAAAUGGGGGAAGGACCCAGGAGCCAAGGAAUGCAGGCAGCCUCUAGACACGAAAAAAUAAAAAGAAACUGAUUCUCUUCCAGAGCCCCCAAAAGGAAUGCAGCCCUGCCAACACCUUGAUUUUAUACCUAGUAAGCCCUGUAUCAAACUUCUGACUUCUGGAAAGGUCCUGAGUGCUUAUCCCGCAUCCAGGAAGAAUGAAGUUAUGCGGACACCUGGAGAGUGAGCAAGGCUGGGAAGAGCUUUAUUGGGCAACCAGACAGCUCUCAGAAGAGAGGUGACCUGAACAGCUAACUCCUAUCUGCAGGCAGAAUUUUAUCUCAUCUAAACAGCUUACCUGGUGUGAUGACCAAGAGCUUUCUCUCUGAAAGGCAUUUAGAUGGUCUGGAAACAAUUUUGACCGUCAAGAAUUGGGUGAAGAGGCCAGGCGCCGUAGCUCGCACCUGUAAUCCCAGCACUUUAGGAGGAUGAGGCAGCUAAAAUCAGCCAGAUGAAGCUUGAAAUUCUGCCUUCAAAUCUCCCCAACUAUCCCAAUGUUACUAGGUACUCUUUCUAUUUUUCUUAUUGCCAAAGGUGACAGUGUUGCCAGAUUUUCUGCAACUACAUAAAAAGUGCCUCUUUUCACUAGCUUCUGUUAUGGACUGAAUGUAUGUAUCCCCCAUGAAUUCAUAUGUUAAAGCCUUAACCUCCAAUGUGACUAUCUUUGGAGGUGAGGCCUUUGAGAAGUAAUAACAUUUAGAUGAGCUGAUGGUGGUGGAGCCAGCAUGAUAAGAUUAGUUCCCUUAUAAGAAGAGGAAGAAAGAUGGAUUUCUCUCCAACUACACACAUUGAGGAAAGGCCAUGUGAGUGAUACCAACAAAGCUGGUCUGCCUUAAAAUGGGGUCUUUCCCUGUCCAGUGCCACAAAGUCAAUAUGCAAAACCAAAAGUGAGAGUCAAGAAGUGCAGGUAUAGGGCAUAUUUAAUGAAAGGGUUGGGCAUUAAAAAUGAGGAGAGGAAUAUUCAUGUAUUUUCUGGGAGCAGAUAGAGAACUUGGAACUGGAGUUGCCACCUUCCUUUUUGUCAUUUUGUGGUUUAUUCUGGUCGUUGUUAUAGUGAUUGUCAAUGGUCAUGGUGCUUGUGGGAGUGUCACUGAGCAUGGACAUUAGAUUAUAAUGAAGUUAGAAGCUCUUCAGAGGUCAGGUGACCUGCCAUUUUACAUCCCACCAGUCUUAGCUGGUUUAAUCACAAGGGGAAACUUCUGACUUUAGUCCUCCUGUCUCCUAAAGAUAAGCAGAGUUAAGGUGGUAUAGAAAUUGAUCUAGGUCUUAAAGGCAUUACACUAGGUAACAUGAGGACACAGUGAGAAGGUGGUCAUUUGCAAGCCAGAAAGAGGGCCUUUGUCAGGAAUCAAAUCUGCUGGUCCCUUGAUCUCAGACUUCCAACCUCCAGAACUGUGAGAAGGGUCUGUGGCUAAGCCACCUAGUCUUUGGUAUUUUGAUAUAACAGCCUGGGCUGAAUAGGACAGCCUCUAAUAACAUCCUCACUGUCUUCAAGCCCUCUCCAGCAGCCUCCUUAAGGUCUUCCAGGUUUCACUAUCAGUCUCCUGCAAACUUUUCCAGCAUCUGCCCAUUGCUUAAACCCAAAGCCAAUUGUCGUCAAUUUUUAGGUUAUGUUUUUUCUAGGAGUAACAUUUUCUUUGCUCUUGUUAGUUUGUCACAGCUGUAAUUAUUCCUUCAUCAUUGUCACCAGGCAUGUGAGCACCAACAUUUCGGUUUAUGUUUCCCUAAACUAAUGCCUGAGAAAAAGACUUAAGUGAAGUUCAUUUGUUUGAAAUAAUAUCCCAAGAAACAGGGUUAAGGGAAGGGAGUAGUGAGACAAGGAAGGAGGAAAAGAUAAUGAGGUCACUGCUUGGAGCUUUAGUCUGCUAGGAUUUUUGAAGCACAUGUAAUGCCACCCAGAAUUAUCCACUGGAAAGACAGUAUGCUUUUGAGUUGGGAUGCUGUAUCUGUGAGGUGUCCCUUUACAUGAAAUGUGCUUUUCAAAUGUUCUGAAAUUAGAUUUGCAGCAAAGGGCUAUGGCACAGAGGAGCACUGAAAAUAUCUUCUACACCAAAACUCAUUAU